GGGUCUUAGCAAGAUGGAUUGGUGAUUUAGCUACCCUAUGUACCAGCUGGUAUUGUGGUUUGCAUGAACAAGCUACCCAUCCCAUCAAUCAAAUGUUUGCAACAGUUAUAGACAAACUUGGUGUUCCACAUGCAUUUUACUACAUCAAAAUGAGACUGCUGUGGAAAGCUGCGUUUUACCCCGAGAGCUGUAAGUCACUGAACUCCAGACUCCCCGUAACUGAAGCUGUCGUAGGUUUCUUUAACCACUCCUAGAAAUUGCAUUACUUAUAGGGAGAGAAAAAAAAAUAAAAA